rnacentral:tRNA from 1 species
UUGAAAGAAGCCAAAACAUUAGAGGUAAGUCACUGUUAAUGACUGAAUUGAGCUUACUCCUUUCAAG